UGGCGGGUCGUCUAACGGUAGGACGACGGGUUCUGGCCCCGUUAGUCUAGGUUCGAAUCCUAGCCCGCCAGCCA
rnacentral:tRNA from 1 species